rnacentral:rRNA from 1 species
GAUGAACGCUGGCGGCGUGCCUAAUACAUGCAAGUCGAGCGAAUGGAUUAAGAGCUUGCUCUUAUGAAGUUAGCGGCGGACGGGUGGGUAACACGUGGGUAACCUGCCCAUAAGACUGGGAUAACUCCGGGAAACCGGGGCUAAUACCGGAUAACAUUUUGAACCGCAUGGUUCGAAAUUGAAAGGCGGCUUCGGCUGUCACUUAUGGAUGGACCCGCGUCGCAUUAGCUAGUUGGUGAGGUAACGGCUCACCAAGGCAACGAUGCGUAGCCGACCUGAGAGGGUGAUCGGCCACACUGGGACUGAGACACGGCCCAGACUCCUACGGGAGGCAGCAGUAGGGAAUCUUCCGCAAUGGACGAAAGUCUGACGGAGCAACGCCGCGUGAGUGAUGAAGGCUUUCGGGUCGUAAAACUCUGUUGUUAGGGAAGAACAAGUGCUAGUUGAAUAAGCUGGCACCUUGACGGUACCUAACCAGAAAGCCACGGCUAACUACGUGCCAGCCGCCGCUGAGA